CUUCGUUGUCGGCAAUGGCGGUGGCGGUGGAGACGGUGGGUUUCCGUAAGUGGGUUUAGUAGAUGGAGAAUCUACUGCGAUAGAGGUGGAGGGCGAAGAUGAGAUGGGCAUAGAAGAAGCAUGAGGAAGCGGAGGGGGAGGAAGAGGAGAAACGACAUAAUUUUCGUCAAAAGAGUGCAACUUAGUCCAAAGAGUGCAACUUCUGUCUCAAAAAGUGUAAUUUUUAUUUUAAAGAGUGUAACUUUCGUUUAAAACAGUGCAAUAUUUUUAUGAAAUAGUGCAACAUCAUUUUCUUCUUCUUUCUCUGGUUUUUUGGCCUUUUUAGAACUUUUUUUUUACUUUUUUUUAUUCUUCAUUCUUUUUUACCAUCUAUAUCUUUUUUCCACUAUCGCAAUCUCUCUCUCGUCCUCUAUCGUAGCCAUCGCCCUUGUCGGAUGUGUU
rnacentral:lncRNA from 1 species